AUAGGGACUGGAAUGAACGGCUAAAUGAGGACAAAGCUGUCUCUUACGGCCUAGCCAAUGAAAUUGAUCCUCCAGUACAAAAGCUGGAAUAAACUCAUAAGACGAGAAGACCCUGUGGAGCUUUAAAACCAAGAUCAUUAAACUAUGCUCCUUGGAUUUUUAGUUGGGGCGACUUUGGAGCAAAAAAAACCCUCCAAAACAUAAAUUUAAUUAUUUAGACCAACACACCAAGAAAAUUAUAUUAGACCCAGCAGUAUUUUUUUACUGUCUGACCAAUGAACCAAGUUACCCCAGGGAUAACAGCGCUAUCCUCUUCUAGAGUCCCUAUCGACAAGAGGGUUUACGACCUCGAUGUUGGAUCAGGACACCCCUAUAGUGCAGCCGCUAUAAAAGGUUCGUUUGUUCAACGAUUAAAGUCCUACGUGAUCUGAGUUCAGACCGGA
rnacentral:rRNA from 1 species